rnacentral:rRNA from 1 species
CCUCCUACGGGACGCAGCAGUGAGGAAUAUUGGUCAAUGGGCGCGAGCCUGAACCAGCCAAGUCGCGUGAGGGAUGACGGUCCUACGGAUUGUAAACCUCUUUUGCCGGGGAGCAAGCGUGCGUUCGUGAGCGCGCGUCGAGAGUACCCGGAGAAAAAGCAUCGGCUAACUCCGUGCCAGCAGCCGCGGUAAUACGGAGGAUGCGAGCGUUAUCCGGAUUUAUUGGGUUUAAGGGUGCGUAGGCGGGAUAACAAGGCAGCGGUAAAAAUGCGGUG